rnacentral:rRNA from 1 species
GAUGAACGCUGGCGGCGUGCCUAAUACAUGCAAGUCGAGCGAACAGAUGAGGAACUUGCUCCUCUUACGUUAGCGGCGGACGGGUGAGUAACACGUGGAGAACCUACCUAUAAGACUGGGAUAACUUCGGGAAACCGGAGCUAAUACCGGAUAAUAUAUUGAACCGCAUGGUUCAAUAGUGAAAGACGGUUUUGCUGUCACUUAUAGAUGGAUCCGCGCCGCAUUAGCUAGUUGGUAAGGUAACGGCUUACCAAGGCAACGAUGCGUAGCCGACCUGAGAGGGUGAUCGGCCACACUGGAACUGAGACACGGUCCAGACUCCUACGGGAGGCAGCAGUAGGGAAUCUUCCGCAAUGGGCGAAAGCCUGACGGAGAAACGCCGCGUGAGUGAUGAAGGUCUUCGGAUCGUAAAACUCUGUUAUUAGGGAAGAACAAAUGUGUAAGUAAAUAUGCACGUCUUGACGGUAACUACUCAGAAAGCCACGGCUAACUACGUG